rnacentral:rRNA from 1 species
CACGUAGGGGGCAAGCGUUGUCCGGAUUUAUUGGGCGUAAAGAGCUCGUAGGCGGCUUAGUAAGUCGGGUGUGAAACCUCCAGGCUCAACCUGGAGACGCCACCCGAUACUGCUGUGGCUAGAGUCCGGUAGGGGAGCGUGGAAUUCCUGGUGUAGCGGUGAAAUGCGUAGAUAUCUGGAGGAACACCGGUGGCGAAGGCGGCAUCCUGGACCGAGAUUGACGCUGAACAGCGAAAGCUAGGGGAGCAAACGGG